GUCGCCAUCGCUGUCGCCGACGCCAUCGCUGUAGCCGACGCCAUCGCUGUCGCUGACGCCAUCGCUGUCCGCCUCCUCCUGGACUUCAGUGGCUCCAGGGCCCCGCUCAGCGAGGAUACAUCCUUAUUGGUUGGAGAGUUGAGUUGAGCAAGUUUUUGGUUUCUCCAGCUCCUAGGCCCGGGUCCCGUGGUGGACAAUGUCCCUGAAGGACCCCGCGAUCACCGCACAGCCAAGCUCACCACUCUAGUUGAAAUCCGAAGCUUCAGCAUUCCCACGGGCUCCCCAGGGCAUCGUGUGCCCAAGGUGCCUCAGCCCCCGCGCCUGAGGGGGAGAAGUGCCCCUGCCUCGUGGUCCUGGAGGAUGGCUCAUAAACCCACCGAAGGCGCCGUGAGAGCAGAGAGCCGCUGGUUCGUCACCAGAGGUCGGCAACGAGGACAGAUCGUGAUCUUGUGACCUAAGAUUCCACAUGUAUAUGAGAUCAUACAGUAUUCGACCAAAGAAAAUAUUAGUGGAGCCCUCCGUCUACUUUGCAAACAUGGCCCCUGGGAUGUCGGCUGGCUAUGCUAGGGAGUCAUGCUGGUGCCGGGAAGCUGGUCCUCAGGAUCUGGAAAGGUCUGAGAAUGAGGACGCUAUAAACCUAAGCCAGCAGCCCCGAUCCCAGAGCACAGCUGAUGGCUCCUGGUGUCACAGAUUCCAGAGAAACCGAGUAACUACCAAAUCCUAUCUUUAUGUGGAGGGAGAAAGGUGGUGAUGUUUGGUGAGCAAGAGGGCACACCAGGACUCCAUGCCUUAAGUGAGGGGUGGCUGCGUGCUGGGACAGAGGGUGAAACCUUGAUUGGAGAGCCCUUUGAAGGAGAGAGCUAUGCGCAUAGGUGGAGUGAGUGCUGAAGUUUUCAACCUGGGUGAGCGCUGCUCCUUUCUGGGUGGCUCCGGGCCCAUGGCAGGACAUGGCUGCUUAGAGGCCGGACCUCAGUGGGAUGAACUCCGGACGCUCUCUCUCAUGGGUCACCCACUGUUCUGCGCUUGUGUUCCGUCCUCUGUCAUAGGAAGAGAAGGGACUAGGAUGCCGGCACAAGUCCCUUUCGGAACAGUGAUGACGGUGAUUUCUUCCUUUAACCCAGGUGUCUCCCCAGAAGACACAGAGGUACUUUGUUUGGAAGAGCAGCACGAGAUGCCCAACUCUGCGUAUUUCUUAUGCUUAAGCCACCACUCUGCCUUAAUACAUCUGGGAUCUGAAAGGAAAGACAAGUUUAAAAUACGUGUGACAAAAAUGCCAUGCACGUACAGGAAAGGGCAGCCAGGGGUGCCUGAGGAAUGUCACACAUA